UCAAACCCCUCACACCUGAGAGAGCUGGAUCUGAGCUACAAUCACCCAGGACAAUCAGGAGUCCAGCUGCUCAACCAAAAACUGAAGGAUCCAAAGUAUAAACUGGAGAAACUCAAUUUGGACCAUGGAGGAGAUUUCAGGAUCACACCAGGACUGUGAAAAUGUGCAUGUGAUCUCACACUGGAUCCAAAAACAGCACACAAUCAACUCACUAUCUCUAAAGAAAACAAAACAACAUCAUAUGUGAAAGAGCAGCAGCCGUAUCCUGAUCAUCCAGAGAGAUUCAAGAGCCUUGAACAGGUUCUGUGUCAAGAGAGUCUGAUUGGACACUGUUACUGGGAGGCUGAAUUGAUCAUACAGGGUCAUGUAGCAGUGACUUAGAAGGAAAUCAACCGGAAGGGUGGGAUUGACUGUCGGUUUGGACUCAAUGAAAAGUCAUGGUGUCUUUACUUUUCUGAUACGAUUCAUACUGCCUGGCACAAUAAUUUGAGCACAAACAUUCCUCUAUCUUCACCCCCAUCUAAAAGAGUAGGAGUGUAUCUGGACUGGUCGGCUUGCAUUCCGUCCUUCUACAGUAUCUCCAAUGCACACACUAUUGCCCCCAUAUACACAUUCAACAGCACAUUCACUGAACCCCUCUAUGCUGGAUUUAG